rnacentral:rRNA from 1 species
UACGAAGGGGGCUAGCGUUGCUCGGAAUUACUGGGCGUAAAGCGCACGUAGGCGGCUUCUUAAGUCGGUGGUGAAAUCCUGGAGCUCAACUCCAGAACUGCCUUCGAAACUGAUAGUCUUGAGUUCGGGAGAGGUGAGUGGAACUGCGAGUGUAGAGGUGAAAUUCGUAGAUAUUCGCAAGAACACCAGUGGCGAAGGCGGCUCACUGGCCCGAUACUGACGCUGAGGUGCGAAAGCGUGGGGAGCAAACAGG